GGGGUGGGGGUAGGGGGUGUCUAGGGAGAAUGGGGUUUGUUUACCCGGGAACCAGCCUGUACUCCUGGAGAGGGGGGCUGGAAGGGGGGGAAUGCAGGAGAGACGGAGAGAGCGAGGUAACUCGCGGCUCAAAACAGUCAAAUUCAAAUUAAAAGGUCAAGACACCGUUCAGACAGGGACUAUUCCCAGAGAGAAAAAAGGGACCCGCGGGGCCUCAGCCGGUUUGGGAGAGCUGCAUCUCACACGGAAAACCAAGACACCAGGCUCGACAAAAUCCUACCCAGAGAAGUGUCCUGUGCAGAGUGAAUGAGCGGGGGGCAUUUCUGAAAGGAGAAAAGGAAACGGAAUCUGGAAGAUAACUUGUUUUUCUGGUCGCCCCACAUUUUCCCCUGGACAAGCCUCAGGUUUCUACUUUCCGAAGGGCUGGAGCCUGGCGGGGAAAGAAAGGACUGGAGCUCUGCGCGCCCUGGCGUGGAGCAGUGAGGAGGCCCGAGCCGGGGCAGCAAGAAGGGGACUUCGGAAAUAAAUCCACGGGGAUUCUCUCAUCCAGUGGUCCAGAGAGAAGGCGCGGGGGCCCCUGAACCCAGGAAAAACUGGAGGAACAUCUGUAACGUAUGACUUGCUUGCAGGGCCAGCCAGCGGAGAUUUGAAAUGGUUUUGUGUUUUCCUUUGCAGAGGUCGCCGUGGGCUCGGCACAGGGGCUGGCCCAGGCAAGGUUAGGCUGUUUAGGCUCCAAAGGAGACUUGGGACAGCCCGGGAGCACUCAACCCAGAGAGCCUUUUGUCCCACCACCCACCCCGAGGGAAACGGAGGAGACUUUAUGGCCACUCUGUUUGCAUUAUCUGCAUAAGUCUUUCCCCACCAGUUUGAUCGAAACUGCUCGCUUUUACGAGGACCCAACGAAAAUUCCCCGUCAUAUUUAUCAGCCGGGGAUAAAAAUUUAGUAUGGGAACUGAUAUUUCCUCAUUUAUGGGGCGAUGAAAUUAAAGA